GAUGAACGCUGGCGGCGUGCCUAAUACAUGCAAGUCGAGCGAACAGACGAGGAGCUUGCUCCUCUGACGUUAGCGGCGGACGGGUGAGUAACACGUGGAUAACCUACCUAUAAGACUGGGAUAACUUCGGGAAACCGGAGCUAAUACCGGAUAAUAUCUUGAACCGCAUGGUUCAAUAGUGAAAGACGGUUUUGCUGUCACUUAUAGAUGGAUCCGCGCUGUAUUAGCUAGUUGGUAAGGUAACGGCUUACCAAGGCAACGAUGCGUAGCCGACGUGAGAGGGUGAUAGGCCACACGGGAACUGAGACACGGUCCAGACUCCUACGGGAGGCAGCAGUAGGGAAGCUUCCGCAAUGGGCGAAAGCCUGACGGAGCAACGCCGCGUGAGUGAUGAAGGUCUUCGGAUCGUAAAACUCUGUUAUUAGGGAAGAACAAAUGUGUAAGUAACUAUGCACGUCUUGACGGUACCUAAUCAGAAAGCCACGGCUAACUACGUG
rnacentral:rRNA from 1 species